GAUGAAGAACGUAGCGAAAUGCGAUACUUGGUGUGAAUUGCAGAAUCCCGUGAACCAUCGAGUCUUUGAACGCAAGUUGCGCCUCAAGCCAUUAGGUUGAGGGCACGUCUGCCUGGGCGUCACAUAUCGUUGCCUGAUGCCAGUUUCCUCGUGAUGGGUGACUGUGCAGGGCGAAUGAUGGCUUCCCGUGAGCAUUGUUGCCUCAUGGUUGGUGGAAAAUUGAGUCCUUGGUAGGGAGCGCCGUGAUAGAUGGUGGUUGAGUGACGAACGAGACCCAAUCAUGUGAGACCCCUACCGAAUUUGGCCUUCAUGACCCACAUGCGUCUUUGGAACGCUCAUGACGAGACCUCAGGUCAGGCGGGGCUACCCGCUGAGUUUAAGCAUAUCAAUAAGCGGAGGA
rnacentral:misc_RNA from 1 species